rnacentral:rRNA from 1 species
GACAGCAGCAGCCGCGGUAAUACGGAGGGUGCAAGCGUUAUCCGGAUUUAUUGGGUUUAAAGGGUCCGUAGGCGGACUUAUAAGUCAGUGGUGAAAGCCUGUCGCUUAACGAUAGAACUGCCAUUGAUACUGUAAGUCUUGAGUAUAUUUGAGGUAGCUGGAAUAAGUAGUGUAGCGGUGAAAUGCAUAGAUAUUACUUAGAACACCAAUUGCGAAGGCAGGUUACCAAGAUAUAACUGACGCUGAGGGACGAAAGCGUGGGUAGCGAACAGGAUUAGAUACCCCCGUAGUCCCUGUCUCUUAUAC